UACGAAGGGGGCUAGCGUUGCUCGGAAUUACUGGGCGUAAAGGGUGCGUAGGCGGGUCUUUAAGUCAGAGGUGAAAUCCUGGAGCUCAACUCCAGAACUGCCUUUGAUACUGAGGAUCUUGAGUCCGGGAGAGGUGAGUGGAACUGCGAGUGUAGAGGUGAAAUUCGUAGAUAUUCGCAAGAACACCAGUGGCGAAGGCGGCUCACUGGCCCGAUACUGACGCUGAGGCACGAAAGCGUGGGGAGCAAACAGG
rnacentral:rRNA from 1 species